rnacentral:lncRNA from 1 species
AAUUUAUUUAUUUAUUAUUUCUUAUAUUGAAAUAUUGUGUUUUAACCUACUUGAAUUCUGACACAAAUGUUAUUAAAAGAGUAAAAUUGACAGCCAUUACAUGUGGGUUCACUCAAUCCAACCUUAUCGGGUCUCAAUUUGAUUCCAAGAAUUAGCCUGAUUAUCCUGACUUUGAAAAAAAAAAUGAAAAUGGAUUAGGAUCGAUUGAGCAUCUCCAUCAGAGGUCGGGUGAGGUUGGAUUUGAUUUAAGGGCUUACCAAAUCAAGGAAUCAGAUCAUUUUGAGAAAGGAAAGCACAAGCCAGCAUGGACAAACAUCACUUCCUCUUACUAUCCUGGCCAGCACAAGGCCACAUCAAUCCCACCUUUCAUCUGGUUAAGCUCCUCUUACGCCUCGGGGUACGUGUCACCUUCACCACCUUCGCUUCCGGCUUCCGCCGAAUCGCCACCCUUCCUACUCUCCCCGGCUUACACUUUGCCUCUGUCUCGGAUGGCUAUGAUGAUGGAAACCACUCCAACUUCUCCAUGGACGAGAUGAAGCGCGUAGGCUCCCAGAGUCUCUCCAACUUGCUCUUAAGCCUAUCCAACGAGCGCGGUCCUGUCACCUUCUUAAUCUACGGCCUCGUCCUCCCUUGGGCUGCCACAGUGGCUCGUGAGCACGGCAUACCCUCGGCCUUUCUGAGCACUCAGUCAGCCACUGUAAUUGCCGUUUAUCACAGAUACUUCAAGGCCCAUGAUGGUCUCUUCAAAACCGAGCUCGGAAUUCCCUUGAAUAUUUCCUUGGAAUUACCAGGAUUGCCCCCACUGAAAUACGAAGACCUACCUUCCAUUCUGUUACCAGGCAAUCCAUACGCUUCGGUUCUCCCCUGCUUUCAAGAACACAUCCAAAACCUUGAGCAAGAUCCCAACCCAUGCGUGCUAGUAAACACGUUUGAUGCGUUGGAAGAAGAUGUAAUCAAAGCCCUUGGACACUAUAUGAAUGUGGUUGCAAUCGGACCUUUGAUGCAGCUUGAUUCCUCCAUCAGCUGUGACCUAUUUGAGAGGUCUAAGGAUUAUCUUCCAUGGCUGAACUCAAAACCAGACGGCUCAGUGAUUUAUGUGUCGUUUGGAAGUCUUGCAGUGUUGCAGAAAAAGCAAAUGGAGGAGAUAUUCCAUGGACUGAUGGAAAGUCAUCGCCCUUUUUUGUGGGUGAUUCGAUCCACAGAGAGCGAAGUAGAGGAGAUGACGAACAACAGCAUGAGUGAAGAGCAAGGGCUGAUUGUGCAGUGGUGUUCCCAGGUGGAGGUGUUGUGUCACCAAGCAGUUGGAUGUUUCUUGACGCACUGUGGGUGGAACUCCAUCAUGGAGAGUCUAGUUGCAGGUGUGCCGGUGGUGGCAUGUCCCCAGUUUUCAGACCAGACGACGAAUGCAAAGCUGGUGGAGGUGUGGGGGACUGGGGUGAAAGCGAGGGCGAAUGAAGAAGGGGUUGUGGAGAGAGAAGAGAUCAAAAAAUGUUUGGAGAUGGCGAUGGAAGAUGGAGGGAAAGGGGAAGAGAUGAGAAGGAAUGCUGAGAAAUGGAAAGGAUUGGCAGUGGAAUGUAUGAGGGAGUGUGGUUCUUCAGGCAACAUUAAUCUAAAACAUUUUGUGGAAAGCUUAGAAAUCAGGACUCAUUGAUGCAAAAGCCAUCUUUAGUGGGCUUGGGCAUGAGAUGUAAUAGUUACCACAACCAAAAGUAAUAAACAUUUUGGAUCAUAUGAUUGAUGGUUUAAUAGUUUAGUUGAAGGUUACUGAAAGUUUCUGAGGAACUUUGAGAGUGGUUAUUACUUUAUUAAUUAUGGCCAAAAUUAUUUCUGUUGUUCAGAUUGGUUAUUGCUUUACUAUUAUAGUAUUUUUUAUUUUUUAUUUUGUUUUCUUUCUUCCUUUAGUGGCAGUAAUACUAGAAGAAAUAUUAUCUCCUUCUGCUAUAGAGUUUUGAAAACACAAGUGUUGUUCAUGUGUGAGUAGCAUACCAUGGAUUGAGUGGAUAUGAACAUCAUCUACAUGAGUUGUGAGAAAGGCAAUUAUGGAUUUACAAUCUUCUCCAAGGCCUCUAAGAAGUUGCAAAAUUUGGUCUCUUUCUGCUAUAGGUUCUUUGAUUGUAGCAAGAUUAUCACAAGAAUCUUUGUCUUGAGUAUAUAUUCCAUCAUCCAGAGUGAGCCUUUUUGUGUUGUCUGAAAUCUAACCGAAGUUGCAUUACCCAUGCCUUUGACAAGGCAGAGAAAAUAUUCUCCAAGGCAAACCAUGCUGCAUGAGAGGUUUGAUAAUCGACAAUCUGUCCCAUGAUCUCCAGAGUAAGAGAUGAAUAGAUCUAACUCAGGAUCACACCAUUGAAUUGUUGCAAUGCAAAAAAAUUAAUAUGGAUUUGAUUCACUAGCAUUUGUUACCUUUGGAGGACAAACCUUCAGUCUUCUAAUAUGUUCUUCAAAUCCAUUGGAAAAAAUCACAUUCACCAUUUGUGUACGCUAAAGGACGUAAUUACUUCUAUCUAGAUUGUGAGAGUAUGAUUAGCAUCUGCAAUGGUCGAAUUGUUCCAGAGGAUUGAGAAGGAGUAACAUUCAUAUUGGCUUGCGAGUUACAAAACUACGUUGAAGUAGCCACGUGAGUUGUAUAUGUGUUUGUCAUGGGAGAAAAAUGCAAGAAAGCUAAAGCGACGAAACAAAUUUUAUAGGCAUAAACCACCAAUUGUAAUUGCAAUAGCCCCAUCAUCACUGUCCCUUACUGCCCUAAUUUCCAGUCCACAUGAUUUUGCAACUAGACAAGACCUUUUUUUUUUUUAAUUCUCGUCUUAUUUUUUGGUGUGAAAUUUCUAUGGCCUUUUCAUCGAAACGAGAUUUUCCCAUGUUUCUAGUAUCUCGUUAUAUAUUUUAAAAAUAUCAGUCUCAAAAAGAAAACAUUUUUUACUUUGAAAAGAUAAUCCAUAUUUUUGAAAUUGUAAGUAAAUUAAUAUAACCUUAGUUGAAUCAAAACGUUGUCUUUUAUAAUACUUUUGUGAGAUAUUUUUUUACAAUUUCUCCGACCUAUAAAAUAUCCUUUGUUAUUUAAUAUUAAAGCAAUAUACUCAAGGAUUAAUUACCAUAAACACUAUGUAGUCAAGAACCACUAGUCUAAGAUAUUAUGUGGUGAGAUCAACAUAUUGAGUUCCUUCAAAGAUCAUCAAAACCAUGGGUUUAGGACUUAGCUCUACUUAACUAUGAUAAGUUUGAAUAGUUGACUUAUAUUUUAUAAGUUACUUGACCAUAUUAUCUAUAUAAAUAUUUGUAAAUAUUAAGGCUAAUUCUUAUUAAUUUUAUCUUUUGAAGAUGAUAAAUGUCUUUAUUGAAUGACUAAAUUUUUAUUAAUAGUGCCAUUGACUAUAGAGAGGGAUUUAAUAGAGGAGAACUUAUCAUUUCCUUUGUUGGGAGGAGCUAUUUAUAAGCUUCUUUAUCACAGGCUUUCUAUGAAAUUGCCUAUUUUUGCAGGUUUUUUUUCUUUGUGGGCUUUGUUGCAGGACAAUUGUUUUAUUACCUAGGAAUUGUGAUUUCUAAUUUCUUUUUGUUUCAAGUAUCUAUUCUUAGUGGACUUGGAGAAAAGUAUGUUUAGAGGUUCUUCCCUUUUGCUAAGGUAAAAUAAGUUUUUUACCCCUUUAAUAGCCCUAGUCCCCCAACCUCCAUUUCUUUUAGGCAGAGGACUUGAAGAGUACUGGAGGCUAUUUCUUUUUCUCCUUUUGUUGCAAGUUGUAACAAGUUGUGGUAGUUGCAAGAUGUUUGUUAACUUCAGUAGAUUCUUAGUCAGUCUUAUACAACAGUAAUAGACAAAUCCACUUUGUUAUCAGAGAUGCCAAAGAGCCACCUUCUUUCGCUUUCUGAUUUACACUUGACUAUUCUUUUUUCUUAAAUUACGUGCUGGGCAUUGAUUGUCUUGAGAUGCCAAAGAGCCAGGCUAGUGUCGUGGUCCAAAUUGUUCAAGAAAUAUCUAUUGUGGCUGCCAAGGGCAUUAAGGUUGCUCUUUGUGGAUUAUCUCUUUGUGAUGGAGACGAGCCUUUGAAAAACCAUGGGAAUCAUUUAGAGAAUGAUGUGACCCAUCCAUGCUUAGAUCUUAGGAAGGGUAGAAAAUGGCACCCCCUAUAUGUUAAGCUCUUCCCUAUUGUUAGUCUUUCAAAAUCUGGAUUGUUGUUGUAGUCUAGUUUUAUCCACCUCAAUGGGAAUUUGUUAAUUGUUUUUUGCAAUGAUUUGGGAGUGUUAGUCUAGGUUUGGAUAAUUUAUCUUACAUUUUGUUGGUACUUAUUUUUGCUAAUUCUUCUUUAGCUGAAUAUAUUAGAUGGGAAAAUAAUGUGUAUAUGGGUACUACAAUGUCUUUCUCGUCUACUUGGCCUAUAGAUAUAGCCAACUAUGAUUGGGUUCUUUUUGGGAGGUGGUUAACUCUAUAUGUUAAUAUUUCUUCUUUAAUUAGAUACAUUAAUUUUAAAAUUUAUUUAUUUUUCAUGUAAAAGAUACUCAUGAGUCAACAUGUUCAUACACGAUGAAGAAAAAAGGUCUAUUUUGUGGCCAAAGUAAGCUUCUCAUGAUAAAUAAAUAAAUAAAUAAGUGUAUACUAAUGACUAUUAGUAUUAUUAUUUAUAUAAACUAUUUUUUCCUAUGUAACAACACGGAGGAAUCCUAUAAUUUUGAAUUUGUUUCUUAGUUGUAUUUAAAGGAUUGAAUCAAUCGAUGUUUAACGAGUAAAGUGUUUAUAUAUAUAUAUAUAUAUAUAUAUAUAUAUAUAUUUCUUCUAUAUUUCCAGAAUUAUUUAUUGAUUUAUCAAUUUUUAAAAAUAAUUUUAUUUUAAUGGAAAUGGUGAAAUAUUUUUACUCUUUAGUGGAAAGUUUUACUUCUUUAUUUUCUCUUUUCAACCUCUAACUUUGUUAAAAUACUCAAGCCUAGCUUAUCACAUAAAAUAAAACUAAAUUUAUUUAAAUAUUUCUUGGCUUAAAAAAAAAACACCAAACUACCUUAAUUUUGUGCAAGUUGGAUGACAAAUAAAUUUAUCAAAAAUUAGGAUAAAAAAAUGUUUCUAAGAUAGGUUAUGUUAUUGUCAUUCCAAAACUAAAACUAAAAUUCAACUACAUUCAACUACUAUUUUUUUCCCUUAUAAUUUAUCUACUUCUCAAGGAAAUUAAAUCCAUACAUUUGUCUAGAUUUCUUGUUCAAAAAUGGAAAAAAAAAACCCAUAAAAGAUCAUAACAUUUAAAUUAAAAAUGAAUUUACCAUAAUUCUUCAAAAUUUGACCCCUUGAAAUAUAACAAAACCAAAAUAAACCAAUUAUCAACUUUAAUGAAAUUUUUUUUUUAUAAUUUUAAAACACAACUCAUCCCCAUCUAAAUAUCUACUAAAAUGAACAAUUCUAAUUUUUGAAAAUUAAAAAGUUAAUAUUUGGUGGUUUUUCCUAAAUUAAAAAUCAAAAAAUUAAUAAAUUAAUUUUAAUAAUUAAACACAUAUUUUAAUCAUAAAUCCAUAAAUCUUAAAGAUUCACAGCAUAAAAAUAGUGAGUAAUCAACGAAAUUUCACUAAAAAAUUCUUUUAAAUUUUUUACAAUGAACAGUGAUUACAAACUCUAAUUAUUAUCUAAUUAUCAAUUUUCUAACUAAUUAUAUAAUUAAUUAUUAUGGACUUUUUAUUAUUGUAAUGAAUUUUGAUAUUUGGUGAUCAUAAAAAAUAUGCUAAAUUAGUUUUUGUUUUCAAAUUAUUAAUUUUUUAAAUAUUUUAUUUUAAUUAUAUAAAAUAAAAAUAAACAUUAUAAUUAAUUUAUAGAUUUUUUUAGCAUAUAAAAAUAAAUGAGUUUAAAAAUUCACAUUAUUUGAUGUUAAUACAAAAAAACAACUUAAUGCUUAACAACAUUCAAAGGGGAUAAAAACCUAAUGCUUGACAACAUUUAGAGGUCAAUAAAAUCUAAUCUCCUGCACACUUGAGUUCCAUUCAAAUUUACGGCAAAUUCAAGUCUAUUUAAAAUUCAAACAAAAAGAUAAAGGCCACCUUGUGGUAUAUUAAUAACAUUAGUAUGUAUGUUAGCUACCAAGAACAAUAGGUUUUUAAAUCUAGAGAUUGAGGGUGACUUGAAAAUAGUUAUAGAUUGUUACAAUAAAAGGAAUAAUAUUCUUAAUUCUAUUAUGUUAUUAAUAAAGGAUAUUUGAAAAUUAUAUUAGAAUCUAAAUAUUUAUUAUUAUUGUUCUAUUUAUAAGGAAACAAAUAGAAUAACAGAUUUCUUAACUAAAAAAAUGUAUUUAUAAUUUAAAAUUAAUCAUUUGGUGGUCAAAUUUCCUUAAAAGAUAUUAAAAAGUUUAAUUUAAUUUUGAAGAUUAUUGCUAUUUAUCUUUCAAUCAUAUUUAUAGGUAUUUUACUUCAUUCUCUCUCUCUCUAAAAAUAAAAAUCAUUAGUAGUAGAGAAAGGAAGGAUCAUGCUUUUGGGUCUCUUAGAGAAAGAAAUGAAAUUAUCAAAAUUGUUGAUGGUGUCUAAAAUUAUGUUACUUUUAUAUUAAAUUUGGAAGAAUAUAUUAUAAAGUCGAUAUGAAAAUUUUCUUUUAGAAUUUUUAAAUUUCUUUAUCAGUGAAAGUAGAUAACAAUCGGAAUUCUUCAUCUUCUCAUAUUUAACUUUAUUCUUUACAUGUUCUCUUUAUAUUUAUUUUGUUCAUAAGAUAUGGAGGUAGGAUGUUUAAAUUCAACCAAAUUUUCUAGUAAGAUUAUUUUCUUUUAUUAUAUCUAAUGGCUGAAAAGGAAAUGGGUAAUAAUUUUGAAAAAUCAAGAUUUUUCUUAAGGCAAUGGAUCGUUGAAGACAAUAUUUAUAACAUAAAAAAUCAAGAUUUUUCUUAAGACAAGGGAUUGUCGAAGACAACCUUGGUAGUAUAGGUACUAUGACAAAUUAAGGUAUAUAAAAUAUCAGUGUGGGAUCCAUCAUUUUAGACCUUAGUCUUGUACAUCAAAUGUUUCAAACUUGGUUGGUCUAACUUAUCCAAUGUCUUUAAAUGUUUUCUAAGCCCAAUGCCCCCCAUCUUUGACUUUUCUUCAUUUCCUAUUUCAUGUUGUUUUCACGCAUUGAAUAACGUAACUGGCAUGGCCUAGAUUAUUAAUGGGGUGUCAUGGAAUCCAUGGAAAAUAAUUUAAAUUUCUUUAUUUGAUUUUACAUCAAAAUGUGACGAAUAAUUAUUCUAUAUUGAAAAGAAUACUUUUGUUCCUAUGAUUGGCCAUGGUUAAACAAAUGUUACUCUUAAUUUUUAUUUUUAUUUUUAACAAAUUUCAAGAUGAAAAAUAAAACAUUUAUGAAUCAAAAGAUAGGUAUCUUAUAUGUAAAUAUUAAAAAAAAUAUUAAAACUUAUAAAAAAAAAUUAUAAAUGGACAUGACUAUUAAUAAAACAUGGUAUUUAAUGGGUGUUUGGUAAAUCGAUUUAAUAACUUAAAGUAAUUUAAUAACUUAAUUUAAAUUAUUAAGUAAAUAGAUUUGGUAAAACAAUUUAAUAGUAUCAAGUUAAAAACAAUUUUAAAUAAUAAGUGAAAUCAAUUAACUUAUUCUUAAGUCUACAUCUUUAUUUUAUAUUUUUAUCCUUAUUUAUCCUAAUUACCUCUAUGACCUUCUUUCCUGCUCCAUCACCUUCACUGUUACUAAACCUUAUUUGCUUUAAUUAUAAUUUAUGAGGAUAAAUAUAUCCAUUUUAUGAUUUAAAAUAUAUUUUAAGUUAAUUUUAUAAAAUAAUUUUAAUACUUAUAAAAAGAAUUAAGUAAUAAGUUUUAAUUUAAUAAUUUAAAUAUAAUUUAAUUUAAAAUCAAUUUAAAUUAUUAAAUAAUAAAUAUUAAAUUUUAUAAGAUACUUAUGCAAUCCAAUAUCUAAAAGGAAAGAAAAAAAAAACCAUUUUAAUAUUUAAAUUCCACCCAAGUUGAAAGUUAUUAUAUAAACGUCAACUCAAAUAUCAAUUGCCUUUGCUGAAAGGUUCGAAUAAGCCAAGCUUAAUGCCAACUUGAUUUGAUAUUUAACUUUUUGUUAUAUUGAAAUAUUGUGUUUUUUAUUAUUUAAAUUUUGAUAAAAUAUAUUUUUUUUAAAUGAAAAAUUGACAGCCAUUGAACGUGGGUUCACCGAAUCCAACCUUAUCCAGUCCCAAUUUGAUUUGACCAAUUAACCUAAUUAUCCCAACUUUGAAAAAAACGAAGAUGAAUUAGAAUGGAUUGAGCAUCUCCAUUAAGUCAAUAAAUCAGGCCUUUGCGAGAAAGGAAAGCACAGACAAGGAUGGACAAACAUCAUUUCCUCUUACUAUCCUGCCCAGCACAAGGCCACAUCAAUCCCACCCUUCAUCUGGCCAUGCUCCUCUUACGCCUAGGGGUACGUGUCACCUUCGCCACCUUCGUGUCCGGCCUCCGCCGCAUCGCCACCCUUCCUACUAUCCCCGGCUUGCACUUUGCCUCUUUCUCGGAUGGCUACGAUGAUGGAAACAACUCCAACUACUCCAUGGAAGAGAUGAAGCGCGUAGGCUCCCAGAGCCUCUCCAACUUGCUCUUAAGCCUAUCCAACGAGCGCGGUCCUGUCACCUACUUAAUCUACGGAUUCCUCCUGCCCUGGGCAGCCACAGUGGCUCGUGAGCACGGCAUACCCUCAGCCUUUCUGAGCACUCAGUCAGCCACUGUAAUUGCCGUUUAUCAUCGAUACUUGAAGGCCCAUGACGGUCUCUUCAAUACCGAGCUCGGAAGUUCCUUGAAUAUUUCCUUGGAAUUACCAGGAUUGCCCCCACUGAAAUACGAAGACC